rnacentral:rRNA from 1 species
CUUGAGAGUUUGAUCCUGGCUCAGGAUGAACGCUGGCGGCAUGCUUUACACAUGCAAGUCGAGCGGUGAUUCUCUUGUAGUAAUACAAGUUGAUGAUCAGCGGCGAACGGGUGAGUAACGCGUAGGAACUUUCUCAAAGUUUGGCAUAGCUAGUCGAAAGAUUAGGUAAUUCCAAAUGUGACCGCAAGGUUAAAGAAGCAAUUCGCUUUGAGUGAGGCCUGCGUCCCAUCAGCUAGUUGGUAAGGUAAUGGCUUACCAAGGCUAAGACGGGUAGCUGGUCUGAGAGGACGAUCAGCCACACUGGAACUGAGACACGGUCCAGACACCUACGGGUGGCAGCAGUGGGGAAUUUUCGGCAAUGGGGGCAACCCUGACCGAGCCAUGCCGCGUGUAGGAUGACAGCCCAAGGGUUGUAAACUACUGUGGUAAUUAUCUAAAAAAAUGAAGAAAUUACUAGAAAGAAGUUGCUAACUCUGUGCCAGCAGCAGCGGUGAUACAGAGACUUCAAGCGUUAUCCGGUUUCAUUGGGCGUAAAGCGUUCCGAUCGGUUGCUAAAUGUGUCUAGAGUUAAAGACCGCAGCUUAACUGCGUGUUUCCUCUGGAAACUGUUUAGCUAGAAGAGUAAAGAGGUAGUUGGAACUCUACAAGUAGGGGUGAAAUCCGUUGAUAUGUAGGGGAACACCAAAAGCGAAGGCAGACUACUAGGUACUUCUUGACACUGCUAGGACGAAAGCGUGGGGAGAAAAUGGGAUUAGAUACCCCAGUAUUCCACGCCCUAAACGAUGAGUGCUUGCUNNNNNNNNNNAUCUGAUUCAGUGGCAAAAGCUAACGCUAUAAGCACUCCGCCUGUAUAGUACGGCCGCAAGGCUAAAACACAAAGGAAUUGACGGGAACCCGCACAAGUAGUGGAUCAUGUGGCUUAAUUCGAUAGCGAGCGAGGAACCUCACCUAGGCUUGACAUGCAAUUGCAAAUCCAGCGAAAGCUGGACUCCUUCGAGGGUAUUGCACAGGUGAUGCACGGUCGUCGUCAGCUCGUGUCGUGAGAUGUUCGGUUAAGUCCGAAAACGAGCGCAACCCCAAUCUUUAGUUAUUUAAUGUCUAAAGAGACUGCCCGAGUUUAAUCGGGAGGAAGGCUGGGAUGACGUCAGAUCAGCGUGUCCCUUACGUCUAGGGCGGCACACAUGAUACAAUGGGUAUGGUACAGCAGGACAGCGAAGAAGUAAUUCGGAGCAAAUCCCCUAAAACCACCCUCAGUACGGAUCGAAGUCUGCAACUCGACUUCGUGAAGCUGGACUUACUAGUAAUCGCGGAUCAGCCUCAUCGCGGUGAAUACGUUCUCGGGUCUUGUACACACUGCCCGUCAAGGUCUGGAAAUUGAAGGAGCCCCAAAGCUCAAGUUUUUGGGUCAAAGGCUAAGUCAGUAACUGGAUUUAAGUCGUAACAAGGCAUCCGUAGCGGAAGCUGUGGAUGGAUCACCUCCUUU